rnacentral:lncRNA from 1 species
UUUGAAUGUAAAUUACGCAUUAUUUGAAUGUAAUUGUCAAUUCUAAAAGUUAAUUUACUGUCAUGUAUGCAUAUAUAGUGAAAAUUCAUUAUAAAUAUAUUGGAGUAUUCGAUAGUAAUAUCACAUCUCACUAAUAACAUAGAUGCGUAGAAUUUAUCACGGGUCUCACUCUCGUAAUCCGAUUAGUUUAAGCUUUUUUUAAGCUCGUAUGAUUAGAUAGACUAACGGAAAAAAAAAAUCAGAUUGGUUCGUAAACCAUGACCACAUUGUUUUUAAUGAAAUAGAUGAUUGUGAAAAGUAUAAGUUUGAAGUUGAACGUCUUAUUUUUUUUAGACAAAUCUACUAAUAAAAUUACAUGGCUAUAAUUAUUAAGUCAACUUAAUUUUUUGUAUGGUUAAUCUACGUUUUUGUAUAGUAGAUUAAAAAAUGUAAACGAUGUAAAUCAUUGAGCUGGAUUUUGGUGAGUCCAACGAUUUGGUAUGGUUGCAAAAGCUAUAGGACAAGUAUUUCUUUCUGUUUUAUUUCGAUUUUUUUUAUUUUAGGCUGUAGUUUUGAAUUUAGGGAUGGACAUUCAACUAGUCGAACUCGCACUACAUAUUUAAAGGGUUUUGGUCUGCCCAAGUCAAAACCAACUCAAUGCGGGCCUAAUAUAAAAUUCCCAAUUCUAGUCAUAAAACCUUUGAAAUUCCUAAGGACCAUUAAUCCCAUUUGUUCAUACUCUUAAAUAUUAAAUACAUUUAUUAUUUAAACAUUUACAUUGUAGUAAUUCUAAUUUUAGGAAAACCUAAAGAACCAAAUGCUUCAGUAAAGUUUUUCUAUUCUCUCUGUACAAACCACAUAAUUCCAACAUUACCCUCAUCUUCUGAUACAGUUUCUUAGGGAGCUAUUAUUCACACCCAUCUUUAAGUCAAAUCACCAAACCAUCACCAGACUCGUUGACUAAAAUUAUUCUUUUGCCCCUGCCUUUUCUCCCUUUUUUCCCGUGUCCCCACUCCCUUUUCCCCCAGCCGGGCCUCCCCCAGCCUUCCCUUUUUCGCUGCAAAGCCCCAGCUGGGCCCUCACCCCAGCCCCACACUUGUCAGCCCACCCUCCCUUUCAGCCGACUGUCUUCCCCACCCCCACCCCUCUAAUGUUAAACCACCCUUUUCAGCCCAGGCCCCCCCACCCCUUUUAUCAAAAAAAAUUUUAAUUUUUAAUUUGUUUUUGGAUUUUUUUGUUCCCAUAUAUAGAAUAAACACUUCUCUAUAUUUUUCAUCUUAUCAUUACCUACCACACUCCAUCUAACUAUUCACUCAAUUUCUAUCAAGAUUUUGUUAAAAUUUUUUUUCAAAAUUCAUAAUUAGAGCACUAUGGAUAUAGGUGUCAAAGUGGGCCUUGCCGGCACGGCAGACACGGGCAUGGCCACGAAAAAACUCGACACGGGCACGAUUUUGGCAUGGUAUAAGUUAGGCCGGGCACGCCAUCGGACGGUAUGGGCGGGCAAGGGUACGAAAUGGUGGGAGCACGGCACGGGGCCACGGUACGAUAGUUGGACUUAACAUAGCACGGCACGAUCAAAGCUCGGCACGGCACAGGCCAACGACACCACUAGUGGGCUGGUUUGGCACGGCACAGACUUAGUCAAGCACGGCCCUAUGGGCAGGAAAAGAAUGGUGUGAAGGCACGACGACACGGACAGAGAGUGGCAAGGAAUAAGGAAUUGAUUAAUUAUUAAAUAAAUAAAAUAAAUUUUAUUAAAUUAAAUUAAUUUUCAUAAUAAAAAAAAUUAUUAAAAGAAAAAAAGUAAACUAAAUAAAUUUUGACUCUUGUUCUCAUGGGUUAUGGCCAUAUAAAUAAAUAAAUAAUAAAAAAUAUAUUUUUAUUAAAUUAAAUUGACUUUCAAUGCCAUAAUAAAAAAAAAUUGAAAAAUUUUUUAAAAUAAAAUUAUGAAUAACAAAAAUAAAAAAAAAUUGACAAAAACAUUAAAAAUUAAAUUUGAACAACAAAAAGUAGAAAUUUUAAAAUUUGACUUAUGCCGUCAAACAAUACACGUUUCUUUCAUAUUUAUGACAAUUCACACCGUUCAUUUUGUUAUAGUGAUAUUUUAAUCACUCUGCCGAAUUUGAAGUCUAUUGGAUAUUGGAAAACUCUUUCAUUCGGGACAGUAAUUUAUUUAUUAUAUCAACCAAUAAUUUUUCUCAUUCGCUCCAGUACGUGCCGAUAAUUAAACUAUUUUAUGGUUUGCAUUGACGAUAUAAUCACUUCUACUUAUAAUUCUAACCGUUCCUAUUCAAAAAAAACUAUUGUGAUGCCAUCAAGUCAUGCAUUAUUAGACAUGAGCUCAUAGAUGGCACCGCAUGUGACCUGAUCAGGUGGUUGAAGACAUUUUGAUCCCACCGUUUUGAAACAAAUUAUAGAAUUGAUAAGAUAUAAAUCGUACUAUUUAAAUCAACAUUCAGGAAAUCGAGUCUGGCACGUGUCUUUCAAUCCUAUACAGCAAAUUACUUGGUUCUGACUAACU